rnacentral:lncRNA from 1 species
AUAAAUCUAUAGUUUACAGGGCAAAUUCAUGUUAAUAUAGCUGCAAUAGUUAUUAAUUUAUCUAUAAUCAGUGUUUCUAGAACAAAGUGUUACAAUCCUGUGUUUCACAACACAGAGCUAGACUGACCCAGCAAACUCGCCAGAUAUUUUGUCAGCCCAGCAUACCUUCACAGAACAGCUUUCCAUUCUGCCAGCAGCAGCCACAGCUUUGGUUCCUUUUGUCACCCAACCAAAGCACCUCAACUCAGCAAUUAUAAUUUGCUGAUUAGUUUCAGUUAUGCAAUCACAGCUGAGAUUUUGGCAGCCUGCUCUGGAACAGAUUUAUUAACGAUGAUCAAUUAUGACCAGGUGGAAUUUCUGACAGAUUUUUUUUUAUUGUUGCUUGACAAUAUAUAGGAAGUCUCCCAACAGAUUUUUUUUUAUUGUUGCUUGACAAUAUAUAGGAAGUCUCCCAUUAGAUAAAUGCAGUUAAUGAGUUGACCCUGCCAUCUGCUGUUAUUUCUGCUGCUGCUUCCAUGGUUUAGUGCCUGCUCAGUCUCUCCCAGAUCAUUCCCUCUCCUUCAGCUCAGCAUGGAAUACAGAUCUUUCUAAUGAGCCCACACAGUGUUGAGGAUUUGUCAUUCGUGCUGUGCCUGGUUUCAUGUAGCACAACUGCUGAAAGCUUCACAUGCAAGAUGGGCUGGUGCUAUCUUCAGUAAAAAUAGCACUGAACCAGAAAAGGCUCACUGAGACAAUUUGCAAAAUCCACCAAGUUUACCAGUUUUCAAAAUCUAGUUCAAGAUCAGAAUCUCAAGGGAUCCCGUGGCAACCAUCUUUCCACAAUAUCCCACCAGAUGGGACUUUGCCCUUUGGCCAGCAUAUGUCAGGGCUCUGCCUGAAUCAUCAGAAAUUCCAGCAACCAGCAGAGCUCUGGAGCAAAGAUCUGAAUCUGUAAGCACCUGGGUUUACUGAGACAAUGCUGCUAUAUGCCUCACUGACCACAGUUACAUUCAAAACAAGAUGCUUUUCAUCAUUU